rnacentral:rRNA from 1 species
UGGGGAAUAUUGCACAAUGGGCGCAAGCCUGAUGCAGCCAUGCCGCGUGUGUGAAGAAGGCCUUCGGGUUGUAAAGCACUUUCAGCGAGGAGGAAGGUGGUGAGCUUAAUACGCUCAUCAAUUGACGUUACUCGCAGAAGAAGCACCGGCUAACUCCGUGCCAGCAGCCGCGGUAAUACGGAGGGUGCAAGCGUUAAUCGGAAUUACUGGGCGUAAAGCGCACGCAGGCGGUUUGUUAAGUCAGAUGUGAAAUCCCCGGGCUCAACCUGGGAACUGCAUUUGAAGCUGGCAAGCUAGAGUCUCGUAGAGGGGGGUAGAAUUCCAGGUGUAGCGAUGAAAUGCGUAGAGAUCUGGAGGAAUACCGGUGGCGAAGGCGGCCCCCUGGACGAAGACUGACGCUCAGGUGCGAAAGCGUGGGGAGCAAAACAGGAUUAGAUACCCUGGUAGUCCACGCUGUAAAACGAUGUCGAUUUGGAGGUUGUGCCCUUGAGGCGUGGCUUCCGGAGCUAACGCGUUAAAUCGACCGCCUGGGGAGUACGGCCGCAAGGUUAAAACUCAAAGGAAUUGACGGGGUCAUAGCUGUUUCCUG